GGAUUUUGGGGGGAAUUUUGGGAAUUCUGGGGGUGACUCCUGUCCGUCCCCUCCCCCAGCGCCGGGCGCGGUUCCCUGGGGGGUCCUGGCCGAGACCUCGCGGCUCUUCCGGGACCUUGGCCCCGCCCUCCUGCGAGGGCUGGAGGCCGCCGGCUGGGACACGAAGCGCCCCCUGCUGGCCGUGGACGAGUGGACCCUGGAGUGGGCGGGGCCAGCACCAGGCCACACCCCCGAGUGAAACCACGCCCAUCACACGAGGCCACGCCCACUUUUAGGACAAAAGGGGCGGAAAUGGCCCCGAAAAAUAAAAAUUUUACAGAAUUUUGGUGGAA